rnacentral:tRNA from 1 species
GGGGUCGUAGCUCAGGGGAUAGAGCAAGAGUUUCCUAAACUCUGUGCCGGCGGUUCGAUUCCGCCCGGCCCCU